CGUAGGGUGCAAGCGUUAAUCGGAAUUACUGGGCGUAAAGCGUGCGCAGGCGGUUGUGUAAGUCUGUCGUGAAAUCCCUGGGCUCAACCUGGGAAUUGCGAUGGAGACUGCACGGCUAGAGUGUGUCAGAGGGGGGUAGAAUUCCACGUGUAGCAGUGAAAUGCGUAGAUAUGUGGAGGAACACCGAUGGCGAAGGCAGCCCCCUGGGAUAACACUGACGCUCAUGCACGAAAGCGUGGGGAGCAAACAGGAUUAGAUACCCUGGUAGUCCACGCCCUAAACGAUGUCAACUAGUUGUCGGGUCUUAAUUGACUUGGUAACGCAGCUAACGCGUGAAGUUGACCGCCUGGGGAGUACGGUCGCAAGAUUA
rnacentral:rRNA from 1 species